rnacentral:rRNA from 1 species
AUGGCCGCCGCCGCUGAGCUCCCAGCCUCUGGCAGCCCCUGCUGCGAGUCUGGCGCCCUGCUUCUUCCUUGUCAUCGGCGAGCCACGCCGUCACUGACCACAGCAAGGCCGCCGCUCCGGCCAAGUUCCUUGUCAGAUCCGGCGACCUUCGCCUUGAACCCGCCGUCUCCGUCCCGUUCUGGGCUUGCUCCGCGCAGCUCCUCCCCUGCCAUGGCUUUCCUCCUCCAGCGACGCGCCUCCGCCGCUCGCGACCAUGGCCGUUGCUGCACACGCACGUCGCCCACCCUACCUCCUUGUCCUGCUCCUCGCUAUGGGCGUCUGGCGACCUCCCCUUCCCCUGCUCCUCCUCACCGUGUGCCCGAGGUCCAUGGCACCUCCAGCCUCCAGGAGCUUCGCCUCCCUUGCUCCACGCCAAGGGCGAUGGCUUCAUGGGAAAGUCCUCUCCGACAAUUGUACGAGUACACAGUGUCGCGUCCAGUACCUCUACCGGCGUCUUCGAAAUCGCCAAGUCCGGUGAUACGCCAAGUACCCCUAUCGACGGCCUCGAACAUCUACAAAAGUGUAUGA